ACGGGGCAGCAUCCGGCGGCAGCGGAGCCUGUGGCUCCCCCUGCGGGCUGCUCAGCGGCGUGCACAGUCCUGCCGGCUGGCUUGGGUGGGUGGUGGGCUGCGGGUAGGGGAGGGGAUGGACCGAGUCCCGGGUUGUCGGGAUGAGGGUUCGGGAAGGUCUGGCCAGUAAGAUUCUACUCCCUGGCUGUGCACCGGGUUCCCUACCCCUGUCUACGUCGGCUCCGCCACUUCGCGGCUUGAGACUAAAAGAGCAUCCCGGCAGGGGGCCUUCCAGCCCCAAAGCAGCCUGUCCAGAGACCCCCAAAUUCUGAUCCUGAAGUUGGAGGCCUCCGGGGAUGUUCUUUUUUAAUCUUUUAGAAGGGUUAGAGGGGUUGAGGCUGCCUGACCCCAGCCUAAUGGGGUAGGUAGGCCUUGGGAAGUGGAGCAUGGGGGCAAAGGAUCCAAGCAUUGAGCCUUCAUCCUCUAUUCCCCAUCCAGUGGGGUGCCGAGGCUCAGGCAGCAUGACGACGGAGACCUUUGUGAAGGAUAUCAAGCCUGGGCUCAAGAAUCUGAACCUUAUCUUCAUUGUGCUGGAGACAGGCCGAGUGACCAAGACAAAGGACGGGCAUGAGGUUCGGACCUGCAAAGUGGCGGACAAAACAGGCAGCAUCAAUAUCUCUGUCUGGGACGAUGUUGGCAAUCUGAUCCAGCCUGGGGACAUUAUCCGGCUCACCAAAGGGUACGCUUCAGUUUUCAAAGGUUGUCUGACACUAUAUACUGGCCGUGGGGGUGAUCUGCAGAAGAUUGGAGAAUUCUGUAUGGUUUAUUCUGAGGUUCCUAACUUCAGUGAGCCAAACCCAGAGUAUAGCACCCAGCAGGCACCCAACAAGGCGGUGAGUCCUGUGGCCACAAUGGUGGGAAAGGAGGGCAGAUCAAGACAAGAAGCAUGGGAGGGAGCAGGAUCUGAAUAUGUAAUCUGUGCCUUCAGGUGCAGAACGACAGCAACCCUUCAGCUUCCCAGCCUACCACUGGACCCUCUGCUGCCUCUCCAG
rnacentral:sRNA from 1 species